UGUAAACACAUUAUAAAUGUUAGAAAGUAUAGGUUUUCACCAUUGCUGUGUUCAGGAUUUUUUUUUUGGGCGGAGCUAAAACGGUGGCUCGAUGACGCACUGGAGCCACUGAGCUCCUGGCCCCUCCCCAAACAACAUAACCAAAGCACACAUUCGCGUCAGUUCGCCGUUCAAUCGCGAGUUUCUGUGGACUACCAUCGUUUAAAUACCUUGACCGGAGCAUAACUGGUUAACUUCACACAAGAGACCUACUGUUGGACAAUCGUUUUGGCUUUAAAGCACAGAAGAUAGUGAGGAGGAAGAGGAUUGCCUAAGGACACAAUUGGCAGGGUGGGCUAUUGACAACAUGAUCCCCCAUGUGGCACUGGGUAAGCUUUUAACCAUUUUGUCCAAGGAUCAUCCAACCCUUCCUAAAGACCCAAGAACCCUUCUGAAAACAGUGACUUGUGUUAAAACAACAGAACUCUCAGGUGGUGUAUACCAUCACUCUGGAAUUGAAAGUGGAAUACUAUCGCAGUUUUUAGUGUCUCCUGAAUUGCAGAAGUUGACGUCAGUUUCAAUGCAAGUUAAUGUUGAUGGACUUCCACUUUUCAAAAGCUCAAAUGCCCAGUUCUGGCCAGUUCUUGGUUUAAUUGAGCAAUACGUGUGUAAUGUCCAACAAAACAAACUUCCAUUUGUCAUUGGUCUCUAUUAUGGGAAGAAGAAGCCAAGCAGCCUUCACUUUUUGAAUCCUUUUGUAGAAGAGGCACAGCGACUUGAAGCGGAAGGAGUUCUGUUUGAAAGGAGAGCACUUCCUUUCAAAAUAUCAACAUUUAUCUGUGACGCCCCUGCUCGUGCACUUGUUCGAAAUGUGAAAGGUCACAGUGGAUAUUAUGGGUGUGACAAGUGUGUUCAAAAGGGGGUCCACUACGAGAACAGGAUGACCUUUCCUCAAACAGAUUCUGCUCCAAGAUUAGACCAUGCAGUCCGUGAUGAACUUUCUGAUGACAGUCAUCAGUGUGGAGAAACGCCAUUGGCAUUGUUGUCUGUUGGUUUGGUCACCCAGUUCCCACUGGAUUAUAUGCAUCUGGUAUGCCUUGGAGUGACAAGAAAGUUGUUGCAUCUUUGGCUAAAGGGACGGCGGCUGACAAGAUUUUCGCCCAGCAUGGUAAAAGAGCUCUCCAGAGUACUCCUGACCUUCACACCUCAUGUUCCGUGCGAGUUCAACAGGAAGCAACGAUCCAUGGAAGAUGUUGAGCGUUGGAAAGCUACAGAAUUCAGGCAGUUCCUCUUGUACACUGGACCAGUCAGCUUAAAAGGCCUUGUACCAACUCAAGUGUACAACAACUUCAUGCUGCUUUCAGUUGGCAUCACCAUCCUACUGAAUGUGUCCCUGUGUGCUGACCUUGCAGACUAUGCACACAGAAUAUUGGUUCUCUUUGUUGAUCACUGCAGCAAGCUUUAUGGAAAAGAACAUGUGACAUACAACAUGCAUGGAUUGGUGCACCUGAGCCAAGAUGCCAAAAAGUAUGGCGUCCUUGAUAACAUAUCAUGCUUCCCAUUUGAAAACUUCCUUGGGUGUCUGAAGAAACUGUUGCGCAAGCCUGCACAACCACUGGAGCAGGUUGUUCGCCGAUUGUCAGAGAGAAGUCAGCACAGAAGAACAAACAUCUCCAAAACAAGGUCCUUGAGAGAGCACAACCAUGGACCACUUCUCAACGGUCUUUCUGUGAAAAAGCAGUAUGAGGAGUGUUACUUUCAAGACUUUGUUGUGAAACGUUCAGAGGGAGACAACUGUGUCCUGUUGGAAAAUAAAGACAUAGUUGUUAUACAGAAUGUCGUCGUUGAUGAAAUGGACAACACUUUGCUCAUCUACAAGAGGUUCCGGAACAUGGUCGAUUUCUUCACUUACCCUGUGGAAUCUUCCAAGCUAGGCAUUUUUCAUUUAUCUGGCCUGUCAGAAACACUCCGCUUUACCCAUAUAGCAAAUGUGCAGAAGAAAUAUUAUCUUCUUCCUUGCCUGGAUGGAAAGGCUGGUUUUCCGUUGAUCCACUUGUAAAAAUGACUGCUUUUUUUGAAGGGAUGCUGUUUGCCAUUGUUCAGUUUAUUGAUGAGGAGGAUCAGCCAUUUGCAGUGGUUCCGCAAGUGUGGCUCAGCGAGGGCAUGUGCUAUUGGCCCCCAUUUAACCUCCGCAAAAAAGACAAAGGCAACAAUUUAGCCAUCCGCUGCACGCCUCCACACAGCACCUGGGAGAAACAUCAUUUUAAGUUUAUGAAGGGAGCAGAAUGUUGGCAAGAGGCGAUGAGAAAGUUGGGACAAUGUUGAAGACGUUUGCUCGCACUGGGCAAUCAGCUUCGGUUUUUGGCAAUCAAAUGUGGGAGGGACCUAAAGACAACCGUCUGGCGGAUGCUUCAAAGUAUCUUCUCUAAUCACCUUUCCAUCAAUACAACCUGGACUGGAGUUGGGGAUAAAGCAUGUUUUAGAGACAUGUUCCUGAAGACCAUUGUUCAAAGAGCCAUCCGGAAGAACCCGGCAACACAGGAUGCCACUGAUGAAGCCAUCCAGGUUAACGUUACGCGUUACCUGAAAGGAGCAUCUGACCGUGAAGGCGGAAAAAGGCGCCGCACAGCUGAGAGGGACCCACAGCCGACCCCUUAAACCUAGGCUGACUACUGACAUCCCAGCAUCACUGACAACUGGAACCCUUUCUUUAUCCUGCAGUCAAUAACAUCAAGACCCCUAAAGAAGCCAGAAGUGUCAGUCUGCACUCCCCAAUCCACACUGUUCACUGUGGAUAUUAUCAUAGUGCUUAACUUAUUAUAUUGUUAAAUAUAGCUUGUAAAUCCUUGUGCCACAGGUCAGCAUUGCAGUUAUAUCUGUUCUACUACUUUUUUUACCUCAGUAUUUUUUAUAUAUAUUUGAAGAUGUUUAUCACAGAUACAAGAGACAUCUUGUACCCCAGGUCAGCAAUGCCAUUAUAAUGGUCUAUUCUACUCCAGAGCUUUAUUCUAAAUUAUUACCACUUAUCUUAUUGUUAGAAAUGGCUUGUAAAUGUGAUGUUAUACCUGAAUUUUUUUUGGUGUCCUGCACAUUCUUUGGUACCAGAUAUACUCAUUACUUAUGUUUACUGGUAAUUCUUUUCAUGCCAGAGCUGACCUCUUUAUAUUAUUAACAAUUAUUGUAAGUGUUAUAAUUUGCUUGUAAGCUAAGGCUGUUUUUUUUUUUUUUUAACAAUUUAAUUGGAAACCUGCGUGUGUGUGUGUGUGUGUGUGUAUUUAUUUUAUUUUUUUUCUCUUUUUUUCUGUUAUUUAUAUUUCAGGGAUCUGACAUCAUGUUUCAAUGACAGUUACUGUACUUUGAAAUGUGGAAUUAAAACGUCAAAUGGAAA